rnacentral:rRNA from 1 species
CUUCUCCACAAUGCUCCUCGAGUUGAAAUCUACAACGAAGCAGAAGCUGAACAAGCGCGGCAGGACGCAGUCGACCUUUUAGAGGAAGAAAGGGAGAUGGCUCUGAUCCGGUCGACCAUCUACCAACAAGAUUUGCGUCGUUUCCACGCCAGAAAUGUGAGGGGUCGAGCCUUCCAGGAAGGAGAUUUAGUUCUCCGAGUGGAUCAAAAGAAACAACACAAGCUUGCUCCUUCUUGGGAAGGACCCUUCAUCGUUACCAAAGUUCUCCACAACGGGGCGUACCGUCUUUACAACGUCGAACAUAAUAUCGACGAGCCCCGAGCUUGGAAUGCGGAACUACUCCGCCCAUUUUACACUUAA